rnacentral:lncRNA from 1 species
GGCCGAGCGGUCCUGUUCAGGUCCCAGUCGGCGCCACCGAGUCCCGAGCCCGCUGCGCUCCUGCGGGCGGCGGGAGGAGGUGGCCGCGAGUGGAGACCCCGUAUGAGCAGGCGAGGGGCCUGGCGGUGUGUGCUGGUUCCUGGGUGGCUUUUGCCUUUCUUUUCCCUUCUGUUUGGCGGCCUGGUAUUCUUUGAAUUGAGCAAAGCAGAAGCAUUUUUCUCGGUCCAGUUGAUCUUCUCUGACUGCUCUAAGAGAUCAGCAGUUCUGUGAAGUCAGAGAGCGAACGGCUUCGGGGCAAUCACAGGAGCCAGAAGCAAACCCAUUCCCUACCCGGCCCCUCUCCCACCCGGCCGCUUCCUAUGCUUCCCGUGCUGUCGGCUGUGCCUGUGUCUUGUGUGUGUAGGUGACCGUCGGCGACCCUCAUGGAAAGUAGGACCAGUGUGUGGAGCCCACGGUGCUGGUGGGGAUGUCUGUGACUUGCACACGCUGGACCUGCCUCAUCCACUCCACCCUGCCGUUUUUUGAGAAAAGAUCGGAUGCUAAUUUCUUUGGCGGCUCUUCUUGGCCUAACAGGAUAAUCAAAGCCCUUGACCUUGGCCUCAAAUGGCCAGGCCCACACGGAUGUUAUUCUGCAGACUUGGUAGAAUCUGCUUCUGUUAUUUUGGACUGA